rnacentral:rRNA from 1 species
UCCCAGACUCCUACGGGAGGCAGCAGUGGGGGAUAUUGCACAAUGGGCGCAAGCCUGAUGCAGCGACGCCGCGUGAGCGAAGAAGUAUUUCGGUAUGUAAAGCUCUAUCAGCAGGGAAGAAAAUGACGGUACCUGACUAAGAAGCUCCGGCUAAAUACGUGCCAGCAGCCGCGGUAAUACGUAGGGGGCAAGCGUUAUCCGGAUUUACUGGGUGUAAAGGGAGCGUAGGCGGCUGUGUAAGCCAGAAGUGAAAGCCCGGGGCUCAACUCCGGGACUGCUUUUGGAACUACAUGGCUUGAUUGCAGGAGAGGCAAGUGGAAUUCCUAGUGUAGCGGUGAAAUGCGUAGAUAUUAGGAGGAACACCAGUGGCGAAGGCGGCUUGCUGGACUGUAAAUGACGCUGAGGCUCGAAAGCGUGGGGAGCAAACAGGAUUAGAUACCCCUGUAC